rnacentral:rRNA from 1 species
CAGCCGCCGCGGGAAUACGAAGGGGGCUAGCGUUGUUCGGAAUUACUGGGCGUAAAGCGCACGUAGGCGGAUAUUUAAGUCAGGGGUGAAAUCCCAGAGCUCAACUCUGGAACUGCCUUUGAUACUGGGUAUCUUGAGUAUGGAAGAGGUGAGUGGAAUUCCGAGUGUAGAGGUGAAAUUCGUAGAUAUUCGGAGGAACACCAGUGGCGAAGGCGGCUCACUGGUCCAUUACUGACGCUGAGGUGCGAAAGCGUGGGGAGCAAACAGGAUUAGAGACCCCAGUAGUCCCUGUCUCUUAUAC